AACGUAGGAGACGAACGUUAUCCGGAGUUACUGGGCGUAAAGGGCGUGCAGGCGGUCUGAUAAGUUCGGCGUGAAAUAUUCCGGCUUAACCGGGAUAGGUCGUCGGAGACUGUCGGACUAGAGGGUGAUAGAGGCGUGUGGAAUUCCGGGUGUAGUGGUGAAAUACGUAGAGAUCCGGAGGAACACCAGUGGCGAAGGCGACACGCUGGGUCACACCUGACGCUAAAGCGCGACAGCAUGGGGAGCGAACGGG
rnacentral:rRNA from 1 species